rnacentral:rRNA from 1 species
AUACGAAAGGUGCAAGCGUUGUUCGGAUUUACUGGGCGGAAAGAGAGUGUAGGUGGUUUAUUAAGUCGGAUGUGAAAUCCCGGGGCUCAACCUCGGAACUGCAUUCGAUACUGAUAGGCUAGAGUUUGGGAGGGGUAAGCGGAAUUCCGUGUGUAGCAGUGAAAUGCGUAGAUAUACGGAGGAACACCUGAGGCGAAGGCGGCUUACUGGACCAAUACUGACACUGAGACUCGAAAGCGUGGGUAGCAAACAGGAUUAGAAACCCCAGUAGUCC